CCAGACUCCUACGGGAGGCAGCAGUGGGGGAUAUUGCACAAUGGGGGGAACCCUGAUGCAGCGACGCCGCGUGGGUGAAGAAGCGCCUCGGCGCGUAAAGCCCUGUCAGCAGGGAAGAAGAAAUGACGGUACCUGAGUAAGAAGCACCGGCUAAAUACGUGCCAGCAGCCGCGGUAAUACGUAUGGCGCAAGCGUUAUCCGGAUUUACUGGGUGUAAAGGGAGCGCAGGCGGCACGGCAAGCCUGAUGUGAAAGCCCGCGGCCCAACCGCGGGACUGCAUUGGGAACUACCGGGCUGGAGUGCCGGAGAGGUAGGCGGAAUUCCUAGUGUAGCGGUGAAAUGCGUAGAUAUUAGGAGGAACACCAGUGGCGAAGGCGGCUUACUGGACUGUAACUGACGUUGAGGCUCGAAAGCGUGGGGAGCAAACAGGAUUAGAUACCCGUGUACG
rnacentral:rRNA from 1 species